rnacentral:rRNA from 1 species
GCGGCGGCGCUAGAAUGCAGUCGAGCGAAUGGAUUAAGAGCUUGCUCUUAUGAAGUUAGCGGCGGACGGGUGAGUAACACGUGGGUAACCUGCCCAUAAGACUGGGAUAACUCCGGGAAACCGGGGCUAAUACCGGAUAACAUUUUGAACCGCAUGGUUCGAAAUUGAAAGGCGGCUUCGGCUGUCACUUAUGGAUGGACCCGCGUCGCAUUAGCUAGUUGGUGAGGUAACGGCUCACCAAGGCAACGAUGCGUAGCCGACCUGAGAGGGUGAUCGGCCACACUGGGACUGAGACACGGCCCAGACUCCUACGGGAGGCAGCAGUAGGGAAUCUUCCGC